GUGUGCUGCGUACUCGACUAUGAAUGUGGUAAAUUAUAAUACGUACAACGUACACAAACAACAACUUAUACUGCAACAUAUUGAAAUUUGUUUUGCUGUUCACUCGGUCGAGUGAUAACAGUCGUUGAUGGAAAAUAUAUGUGCGCACUGCUUGAACUGAAAUAUUGAAUAAAAAGAAACUAGAUGGUAGACGUUAUCGCAAUGUUGUUUGUUUCAUAUUGUGGCAUUUCACAUGAGCCGUACUCUCACAUUUUUACCAGUUUCAAUUACAAAAAAUAUAUUUAUUGAAUAUUGUAUUGAUGAUGAGUCAGCAUUCGUAGAUGACAAAUAUAUGGGUAAAAUAUUACGUCUUUUUGGAAUUAAAUUGUUAUAUGAAGAGCCACAUUAUUAACAAUCGUUUUUCAACCAAUUACAUCGAGUGAUUUCAAAUAUGACAUCGAGAAAUCUCAAAUUAACGACCAAUAAAUAUUUCGUGGAAAUUAAAA